rnacentral:rRNA from 1 species
GACAGCAGCAGCCGCGGUAAUACGUAGGUCCCGAGCGUUGUCCGGAUUUAUUGGGCGUAAAGCGAGCGCAGGCGGUUAGAUAAGUCUGAAGUCAAAGGCUGUGGCUUAACCAUAGUACGCUUUGGAAACUGUUUAACUUGAGUGCAAGAGGGGAGAGUGGAAUUCCAUGUGUAGCGGUGAAAUGCGUAGAUAUAUGGAGGAACACCGGAGGCGAAAGCGGCUCUCUGGCUUGUAACUGACGCUGAGGCACGAAAGCGUGGGGAGCAAACAGGAUUAGAUACCCCCGUAGUCCCUGUCUCUUAUACA